rnacentral:snRNA from 1 species
AGCCGCGCGGUGAGCUCAGAGCGAACUAUUCUUUCGCCUUUUACUAAAGAAUACCGUGUGCUCGCUGCUGAUAGCGGUACACGCGAAUUUUAAAGGAGUGCUCCCUGGAGCGGC